UACGAAGGGGGCUAGCGUUGUUCGGAUUUACUGGGCGUAAAGCGCACGUAGGCGGAUCGUUAAGUCAGGGGUGAAAUCCUGGAGCUCAACUCCAGAACUGCCUUUGAUACUGGCGAUCUUGAGUCCGGAAGAGGUGAGUGGAACUCCUAGUGUAGAGGUGGAAUUCGUAGAUAUUAGGAAGAACACCAGUGGCGAAGGCGGCUCACUGGUCCGGUACUGACGCUGAGGUGCGAGAGCGUGGGGAGCGAACCGG
rnacentral:rRNA from 1 species